rnacentral:rRNA from 1 species
ACGGGGCCCGCACAAGCGGUGGAGCAUGUGGUUUAAUUCGACGCAACGCGAAGAACCUUACCAGGGCUUGACAUCUACAGAAUCCUGAGGAAACUCAGGAGUGCCCUUCGGGGAACUGUAAGACAGGUGGUGCAUGGUUGUCGUCAGCUCGUGUCGUGAGAUGUUGGGUUAAGUCCCGCAACGAGCGCAACCCCUAUGUUUAGUUGCUAGCGAGUAAAGUCGAGCACUCUAGACAGACUGCCGGUGAUAAACCGGAGGAAGGUGGGAUGACGUCAAAUCAUCAUGCCCCUUAUGUUCUGGGCUACACACGUGCUACAAUGGCCGGUACAAACGGAAGCGAAGCCGCGAGGUGAAGCAAAUCUGAUAAAACCGGUCUCAGUUCGGAUUGCAGGCUGCAACUCGCCUGCAUGAAGUCGGAAUCGCUAGUAAUCGCAGGUCAGCAUACUGCGGUGAAUACGUUCCCGGGCCUU